GACGAACGCUGGCGGCGUGCUUAACACAUGCAAGUCGAACGGUUAAGCUCCUUCCUUUUUGGUGGGUGUGGAUGAGUGGCGAACGGGUGAGUAACACGUGAGUAACCUGCCCCCUUCUUCUGGAUAACCUCAUGAAAGUGUGGCUAAUACGGGAUAUUCUGUGUCUUUCUCAUGAUGGGUCUGGGAAAGAUAUUGUUUCUGUGGGGGAUGGGCUCGCGGCCUAUCAGCUUGUUGGUGGGGUUAUGGCCUACCAAGGCGGUGACUGGUAGCCGGCGUGAGAGGGUGGAAGGUCACAAUGGGAAUGAGGCACGACCCAGACUCCUACGGGAGGCAGCAGUGGGGAAUAUUGCACAAUGGGCGCAAGACUGAUGCAGCGACGCCGCGUGAGGGAUGGAGGCAUUCGGGUUGUGACCCUCUUUCGCCAGUGAAGCAGGCCUGCCUCGUUUGUGGGUGGGUUGACGGUAGCUGGAUAAGAAGCGCCGGCUAACUACGUG
rnacentral:rRNA from 1 species